UUUUUCUUUUUUCUUUUUUGGCUGCACCCUUGGUGUAUGAACAUUCCCAGCCCAGGGAUUGAAUCUGAGCUGCCUCUGCAACCUAUACCACAGCUGGACCCUUAACCCACUGUGCCACAGGGGGAACUCUGCCAUCAGGUCUUUAUUUCAGAACCUGGAAGGAGAGUAAGGAAGGGGGAAAGGGCUUACACCAGAUGUCCUUUAAGAAGCUUCCUCCCAGUGAUUCCUUUGUCAGGCCUUUGAUGAGACCCUCGUUCAACAGCUAUACUGAUCUGCAGGGAAAAUGGCUGGGGUGGGGGCAUUGCAAUAAUGCCAAGUCCAGUGUCCUGCCCCCACACCUGAGUUGUAUUAUCAAGAAAGAGUGGCCAUCAGAUAAUGGGAGGACAACCAGCAUCUCUGGCAGUGCUUUGCCGCCCUCCAGAGCUGAGAUGGAGGGCCCUGUUUAGUUCAGGUCCACAGCAGAGUGACAGACACCAGAGGUGAAACAUCUCAGAAAAGAAACCUAGGGGAAAUAACGGGGCCAAUCUUACUUCCUUGCAUGCGAGGAACUGCAGAGUGAUGGGGGCGGGAUCUCUGAGUGGCCUGGAGGUAGGGAAGGAAGGCGGCUGCUUCCUGACCCUGGGGCAGGUGUGUGGAGUGUGCCAUUGCGGGGCGCUGGUUCUUCUGCCCACAGUGGAUCCAACCCCACACACCUGCAGCGUCCUUAGUGCUUUUGAAGCAGCAAAAGGACUUGCUUGGCCUGGGAAAGCCGAGGUCAGACUGGUUCUGAGAAAAACCUUUCACCUGGGGUGAAAAUGGCCCUGAGAGGUGUCAGUGAAUCUUGUGAUAAAUAGGUUAUCAUAAAUCAUUAACAACCACAAUUAACUACAACACAUCCACCAUCCAAUCUGAACUAAUGCUAGUAUAUUGCUUCCGAGUAUACUGAGCUCUCUCUUUCUAAUUUGAUCCUCACAGAGUUUCUGCACAGACACAAGCCCCGCUCGCUGGCCUCCGUGGUUACAGAAGGCGCGUUGUGUGGAUGGGGCCAGGCUGCUGUGCUUCUCUGCAGGGGCGGGGAGGGGCGAGCGGGUGGAGGGCAGCGCAUCCACAUACCCGCUCUCUGCCCAGGCCUCGACCCCCGCACGCUGACUCUCAGCUCUUCAGGUUUGGUCCGGGACAGACACCAUCGCCUCCCCUCGAGCCCAGGCCUUCGGGUCUGGACUGGAAACACAUCUCUGGCUUUCCCGGGCUGCCAGCUUGCGGCCAGCAGCUUGUGACAUCUCAGCCUCCGUAACCAUCGAAACCAGUCCCCCCCAGUACUUGUCCAGAGCUACCUUCAUCCCUCUAUGUUCUCAUGAUUCCGGUUCUCAGGAGGAGCCUCCACCCCCAUCUUAGAUGCUUGGUCUCACUUCUGGGAUGAGAAGGUCAGGCGAUGGCUCAGGGGGCAGCGGGGCCUUCACUUUCCCGCCGUCACACGAGGCGCCCUGACCCGAGCUUCCCUCUCAACACGGCCCUCGGUACCUGCUCCUCUAAAGGACUUGCCCAAGAAUUCGAAGGGAGACUGAAGAAGCCAGGACACUGCCGAGGAUCCAGGAGCCGGGGGUAAGGGCUGUGGCUGGGGAGCGGGGGGUGCCUGGGCCUGUGCUUGGUGGUGCUGAAAUGGGAACACAAGAGUGAAAGCCUUCAUCCAGACCCCAGGUCCGGGGAGAUGGCACCUCAGCCCUCCUGUCCAGGCUGUCCUGCAGCGCAGACACUUCCGACCCGUCAACGGUGUGCCGGCUGCCAGGACACGUCCUGGGCUUGGAACAGAGACAGGGCCUGGGCCCUGGCCUCGAGGAGC
rnacentral:lncRNA from 1 species